GUUGGGUACGCUAAAGUGGCA
rnacentral:tRNA from 1 species